CACGUAGGGACCAAGCGUUGUCCGGAAUUAUUGGGCGUAAAGAGCUCGUAGGCGGUUUGUCGCGUCUGCUGUGAAAACUGGAGGCUCAACCUCCAGCCUGCAGUGGGUACGGGCAGACUAGAGUGCGGUAGGGGAGAUUGGAAUUCCUGGUGUAGCGGUGGAAUGCGCAGAUAUCAGGAGGAACACCGAUGGCGAAGGCAGAUCUCUGGGCCGUAACUGACGCUGAGGAGCGAAAGCGUGGGGAGCGAACAGG
rnacentral:rRNA from 1 species